UACGUAGGUGGCAAGCGUUGCCCGGAUUUACUGGGCGUAAAGAGCGCGCAGGCGGUCGGAUUAGUCGCGUGUGAAAGCCCCCGGCUCAACUGGGGAGGGUCACGCGAUACUGUUCGACUCGAAGGCAGGAGAGGGAAGUGGAAUUCCCGGUGUAGUGGUGAAAUGCGUAGAUAUCGGGAGGAACACCAGUGGCGAAGGCGACUUCCUGGCCUGUUCUUGACGCUGAGGCGCGAAAGCUAGGGUAGCAAACGGG
rnacentral:rRNA from 1 species